GACAUGCUGGGAGCCAUUAGCCAAGUAGGUAUGACAAUUUCCUUGCCAGCGUACCCCAUGUUGCAGUGACAUUGAAUGUACGUGACCUUGCUCAAGGACCAAGGCAGAUUAGGGUGUUCCUGGUUUUAAGAUAAUGGUGUUUAGGGCGUUCCCAGUUUAGGUUCCAGGUUUAAGGUUUAAGAUUAUUCCUGCUGGGAAUAGGGCGUAUCCUGCUGCCUGAGUUCCCCUUGAGUUCUCACGGGAUUUAGACAAUAUAUUUUGGAGAUAGAAGCCCAGUGGAGGUGAAUUUGGGAGAGAACGUGGAUUUGGGCAGAGAAUGUGGAUUUCCCCAGAACGUGGUUGUAGACGGCUGGUGUGAGUUCGGGAAUAAAGAGUUGCUGUUUGAAUCUACAAGCUGUGUGGUGGCUCGUGAUUG
rnacentral:lncRNA from 1 species